rnacentral:misc_RNA from 1 species
AUGGAUGGGGACCGUGUACCUUCUGGAGAUUCAGUCCGUCGGUUUAUUCUUGGCUAUGCUUCACUUGCAGCGGUCACUGCAAUUGUUGUGGUGUUGGGUGUGCUGCUGGGAGCUGUGAAAUGUAUUAUUCCCCUCAACUGGUGUGCUUAUUACUCAGGGAAGAGGAGUGAUUCUCUCUUGGUCUGGGAAAGGCCGAAUGCAUUUUCUUCAAAGGUAAGACGUUUUUGUGGCCGUUUGAACAGAGUAGCUUCAACUCUCCGAGUGAAAAUAAGGCCUAAUACUUGGGCUGGAAG